ensembl:lncRNA
UAGCGCUGGCGCGGCGCGGGCUCUGCCUGGGCUAGUGGCACCGACUUGGGAAAGGAAAACAUUGAGACAGAAGAAGACUGGAUCUUUUCCCAUAGGAAGAACCAUGAUCAGCCCUGUUGAAAGACUGCAGAAGACCCACUACUUGUGAAGGCCCACACAUUGGAAAUAUGGGAACUUCUCUCCUGCCACAGAGAACAAAAGGAUCAGAGAAACUGAAAAGCACAAGGCGAUAAGAGCUCUGUCAGCAAAUCUGACCCUGGAACCCUCAGCCAACUUUCUGGGGGCAGGAGACCCUGGGGAAGGAGAAGAGAAUCUACUGGUGAGUUCUGCUGGGACUUUAUGGGGCAUUGUUUUUAUAGCCCUAACCCUGAAUCCACCAGCCCUUUACCCAAACCUAGGUAACCUCCCAGACUCUGACCUGCUCCAUAACAGCCUUCUUCUGUCUCUCCUGCAUCCAUGUGAGAGGGGAUACCAAAUAGCUGACAAGUCCUCUGACUCCUGGCUUCAGAAUACCGAACAAGUGGAAGCAAACUUACAACUGUCUUCUGCCACAACUCCACCUGAAGCCUUUAACCUCCAUCCCUGCUUGAGACUCAGAAUCCACGCUGGGCCCUUUUCCCUUCUUCAAACUUGCCCUUCCUGUCUUGAAAGGGAGAGCCCCCAGCCUUGGAGCUCCUGGCAUGAGCCCGAGUUGAGUGGGGAUUAGACAUCCUGCACUUUGCUGCUCAAUUUCGCUCCUGAAAGAUCCACUAUGCCACCAUGCACCGCCACCGCCUCCGCCGCAGCUGCCGCCGCCACCACCACCACCACUAUUAAUGAGUCAAAGAGAGAUGUUGCCUAGGUCUCUACCUCUGCAAUGGCCGCUGCCGCGCCGCCGUGGCCUUUUUCUCCGCGGUUUUGGCGUUCGCUUGCUCCCUCGCUAGCCCGGCGCGGUUGAUUUAUGAACGCCCGGAAAAUUGAACAAAGCUGCGCGCCCGUCCUGUGGUAUCUCUGCAGCCUUCCCCAGCGUGAAUCUGAACAUUACCAACUGUCUGCGCAUCCGUCCCACUUCAUCACCAAAGCCAGGAUGUGACCACAAAAAAGAAAAAAAACCAACAACCCAAGCCCAAACUCACGUUUCCCCGACACAGCGCGCUCCCUGGACUCGCAGAAACCCUGCAGAAAAGCACCAGGACCCAGCCUGAGCCCGCCAGCUCUGGUUCUCCUAGCCACAGGGCUCUCUCCUUCCUUCCUGAAGGAGUUAAAAGCCUUUGAAGAUAAAUCUGAGGAUGCGUGUAUUUAAAAAUCAAAUAGGAAGUUGGAGUCUCACUUCAGAGAUUCAUUCCUAGUGAGGCCCUGACUACUCCGAUCCAUUCCUGACGAUCUGCAUUAAUUAUUUAAUGAAUCACGUGACCUCGGAGAUUACAAUUUCAAUAUCUCCCUGGAACAGGCGUUACACCUUUAUCAGCUGCAACCAGGGUCCGUGUUUGGUUUUUUGUUCCCUAGGCCUCUGGAGCACAUUCACCCUUGUGUUGAUGGGGCAAGCAACCGCCAAAGAAAUUACGGGUAGAACACAGCAGAAUUAGUCAUUAUGGGGUGAGGAGCGUUGUGGACAGUAGGGAGCUCACUGCUCUCCAAGGCAUCCUGAAGUCCAUCAGCUCCUGAGACCAGUGGUCAGCCACCUGUCUGAGUGCCAAGUCUAGGGCAGUUUGGUUACAUAAUCUCCCAAGGCAGCUUUUCAGGUACAUUGGGUAAGAACUUACCCUUCCAAAUCCAGGUUACACACACUCCUAGCCUUUCACAUCAAGGGUAAACCCAAAUACAUACUGUAUCCCAUUCUCUUGGAGGAAUAGCUUCUGCUUUGAAAAAAAUGACUGAGUUUACCACAUCCGUGUCCAAGGUGAGAUUAAAGGCUUUUCUCAGCCUACACACUCAUUAACAUAAGAAACGUUGGGAAGUGGAAUAUUCAACUGCCUCAGUUUCCUCAUAUGUAAACUGAGAAGACUGAACCCAAAUGGCUUCCAGGUCUCUUUCAACUUGGACAGUCAUUCAUUCUGGAUUCUCCUUCAACUCUAGGAAGCAUUCUAGAGAGAAGGGGGCUGGCCUGAAAGGGAAGAGGGUGUGCUGAGUGAGUCUGGAGCCUUCAGAAGAGAUGCCAGAAUUCCAAGCCAGAAGUUGCAGACUAGAAGGUUUGAUGACUUAAUGCUAUCAAGGAGACAGAACACACAACUCCCCCCCCCUUCCUGCUCCUCCUCCUCCCUCCAUUGUUUCCAGAUCCAGAGCUUAUCCUUCGAGGUGCAAAGCAGUUACUCUUGGAGCAGUAUGUUGUGGAGAAAAGGUAUCAAGAGCAUCAGUUAGGAAAGAUGAGCUUGAGUUCUUCAAGCCCGAGGGUGCCCGGGAAUGCAGAGACCAAGGAGGUGCCAAAGAGGCCCUAUUGCUUGCACAGAACCCACUCAUUCAAAUGGGAAGCCCCAGGUUUCUAUUCGCUUCAUUCAUUCUUUGGAGGUUUUCUUUCAUUUUAGAGAGUUGAUUUGUUUCUGUGCUGGCACAACUAGAAGGAAGGCAGCAGUAAGAAAAGCAACACAGUUUGGAAGUUUUGGGGGAUCUAGGGGCUCAGGAGAUAUGGUGAUUCCCAUCCCUUAGGGAGAAGGGUGAGAAGUAGGGAGAAUGGGGCACCCUGGGACAGCUGGAUAGAAAGGCAGAUAUUGUGCAGCAGGCCUACCCCCAUAUAUUUAGGGAAUCUUCCCACGAGCUCCAUCCUGGGUAUUAAGUACUCUACUAUGCCCGUCACAGUUGAAUUCCUGCUGUAAUAAAACACCGGGUAUAUGGUAGAUUUCAGCAAAACUAGGGAAAAAAGCCUGCAAAGUGCCAUUUUUCUUCAAGGGGGAGAGUGUUAAGUACUUAAUUCAAACUGUGACCAUUAAAGUGUCUCCUAUCCGACUUAGGCUGAUUUCAGAUGUUGACAAAACUUUUAUCUCCAGAGUCAUGCACAGCUUGGCUCUGAGACUAAAGCAGAUGAGUGUGUAUUAAAGAGAGGGAGGGAUAAAGAUGGAGAGAGCAGGAGAGCAUGUGUAAAGGUCAUCAUAACAGGAGAAAUACAGAGCUUACACAAAAUACUGUCUUUAAAGGUCAAGGGUUUGAGGGGUUAGUAAGGUUUACCUUAAAAAAAAAACUAAUGAGAUAGAAAAUUUGUCCUCUCAAUGAACUCUUAUGGUUGUCCUAGCAGAGGGCAGACAAUGCAUGAUUUUGAAGCACAAAGAGAGAUUUCUUAAGCUGUUAUUACAAGCUCCCUUAAAGGCAAAAUCUGAAACAGACAAAACAUUGUGAAGAAAUGACAUAAUCAGUUGGAUCACUUUUGAUAAUUUUGGUUUAUAAAGCUUACCAAUAUCUUACCAUUUUGAAAAAAUGCCGCUUUAUUCUAGAAUAUCACAAAAAUGGUCUCAACCCUCUCCUAUUCUGGAUAGACUACAAGAGCAAGAGAAAGAAAUCACUCCCUUUAUUUUCAUACUACUGCCUCCAGCACGAAGCUAAUGAAUUUCCCUAUACCCUUCCUCCCCACAAAGGAGAAAUAUAAGAAUUUACCUUAAAUGAUGAUAAUCUGCCAUUUGAGGUUUUGCAGCUUGACACUCAAUUUCCACCAAGAGUCUAGGUAUUUUUUUAUUUUAGCAGAUAGCCAAGAUGCUAUGUCUUUGCCUGAGACAUUAUUUGCAAGAAGAUCUCUCUCUCCUUCACAGACUUUUCCCAGAGAAUGCCUUUCAGAAUUGCUGUUGAAUUACAAAGAAGUAUUUAUUGUAUGAGGUGAUUAAUGAUUCCUGGGAAAAUUGCUAUUUUCAGCAUGAUUUAAUUUCGUUUUACAAGUGCGUGUAUAGGGGGAGGGUUAAUAAGUUUCAGCAGCAGUUGCAUUGCCUCCAGAAAUGCCUGGCACCCAUUCACACCUUAUUAAAUGCAUUUUAUCCCAGGUUUUUCCUGAUUUGAG